rnacentral:piRNA from 1 species
AAGACAUCCAGGUGUGGCCUGUGGGCACGU